rnacentral:ncRNA from 1 species
GUACCAAUAUCCGCAGCUGGUCUCCAAGGUGAAGAGUCUCUAGUCGAUAGAAUAAUGUAGGUAAGGGAAGUCGGCAAAUUAGAUCCGUAACUUCGGGAUAAGGAUUGGCUCUGAAGAUUGAGAUAGUCGGGCUUGAUUGGGAAACAAUAACAUGGUUUAUGUGCUCGUUCUGGGUAAAUAGAGUGUCUAUCAUUUAUGGUGGUUACUUGUUCCCCGGAUAGUUUAGUUACGUAGCCAAUUGUGGAACUUUCUUGCUAAAAUUUUUAAGAAUACUAAUUGGCUCAAACCGAUUAGUUCUUAUUAAUUAUAACGAUUAUCAAUUAACAAUCAAUUCAGAACUGGCACGGACUUGGGGAAUCCGACUGUCUAAUUAAAACAAAGCAUUGUGAUGGCCCUAGCGGGUGUUGACACAAUGUGAUUUCUGCCCAGUGCUCUGAAUGUCAAAGUGAAGAAAUUCAAGUAACGGCGGGAGUAACUAUGACUCUCUUAUCCUUUGACUCUUAUGACUCUCUGGUCCUUUUUGCGGAAACUCCGAUGGGCCUUCAAAAAUUGUUGGACAAAACAGUUGACUUUUUGUCUUCUGUGGGACUCGACCUAAAUGCUAACAAGUGUUUCACUGUUAGCAUAAAGGGACAGCCGAAACAAAAGUGUAGUGUUGUGACGCAACACAGCUUUCGUGUCCUUCAAUGAAGCGCACCGACGAGUGGAAGUAUUUAGGUAUCCGGUUCACAGCGGAGGGGAGGGCCCGGUACAAUCCAGCGGAAGACUUCGGUCCGAAGCUGUUGAGAUUGACACGGGCCCCCCUGAAGCCACAACAGAAGUUAUUUGCCCUUAGGACUGUCCUUAUCCCACAACUCUAUCACAAGCUGACCCUUGGGAGUGUGACGAUAGGCGUUCUAAGAAAAUCUGACAAAUUGGUACGAUUCUAUAUCCGGAAAUGGUUAGAUCUUCCGGCGGAUGUGCCAGUAUCCUUCUUCCACGCCCCCCAUAAUUCUGGGGGACUCGGGAUCCCAUCAUUAAGAUGGAUAGCUCCAAUGCUUCGUUUAAAACGAUUGAGCAGCAUUAAGUGGCCCACCUCGAACAAUCCGAGGCGGCCAGCUGUUUCAUGGACGACGAAAUGCGGCGGGCCCGGGUUAGAUUACUAGCGGGAGGUACGGAACUGCUUUCACGUUCGGACAUAGAGUCGUACUGGGCAAAUAGGUUGUACAUGUCUGUUGAUGGCAGCGGUCUCCGUGAAGCUGGUAAAUUCCACCAGCAACAUGGAUGGGUAAGUCAACCCACGCGUUUACUAACAGGAAGGAAUAUUUGAACGGAAUCAAGUUGCGGAUAAAUGCCCUACCUUCAAAGUCUCGUACUACGAGGGGACGGCACGAAUUGGAUAG